GUCUAUGGCCAUACCACCUUGAAUGUGCCGGAUCUCGUCUGAUCUCGCAAGCUAAGCAGGGUCAGGCCUGGUUAGUACUUGAAUGGGAGAUCACCUAGGAAUAUCAGGUGUCGUAGGUG
rnacentral:rRNA from 1 species